rnacentral:rRNA from 1 species
GUGAGGAAUAUUGGACAAUGGUCGGAAGACUGAUCCAGCCAUGCCGCGUGUAGGGAAAGGUCCUAUGGAUUUUCAACUUCUUUUGUACGGGGGCAAUAAGGUCCACGCGUGGGCCGAUGAGAGUACCGUACGAAUAAGCAUCGGCUAACUCCGUGCCAGCAGCCGCGGUAAUACGGAGGAUCCAAGCGUUAUCCGGAUUUACUGGGUUUAAAGGGUGCGUAGGCGGAUUAAUAAGUCAGUGGUGAAAGCCUGCAGCUUAACUGCAGAACUGCCAUUGAUACUGUUAGUCUGGAGUAUGGUUGAGGUAGCUGGAAUGUGUCAUGUAGCGGUGAAAUGCUUAGAGAUGACACAGAACACCGACGGCGAAGGCAGGUUACCAACCCAUUACUGACGCUGAGGCACGAAAGCGUGGGGAUCAAACAGGAUUAGAAACCCGGGUAGUCC